rnacentral:misc_RNA from 1 species
GGUGUCGGUGCCGGGCAUGUAGUAGAAUCCGGCGCCAUAAAGGGAGCAGAUCUUCACGUACUGGACCGCUUUGGCCUUGACGGGAAGAUCAGCUGCCUGUGCCCCGGCGAUCGCGACGAAACCUGCCGCCGAACCCAGGAUAAGGCUCUUAAUCUUGCUCAUAGAAACCUCCAAGUUUUGCUCUGUUGAGGAAGGUUCCGGUCCGUCGGUGCAAACCACACCGGAUGG